rnacentral:rRNA from 1 species
UACGUAUGGUGCAAGCGUUAUCCGGAUUUACUGGGCGUAAAGGGAGCGCAGACGGCGACGCAAGUCUGGAGUGAAAGCCCGGGGCCCAACCCCGGGACUGCUCUGGAAACUGCGUCGCUGGAGUACGGGAGGGGCAGGCGGAAUUCCUGGUGUAGCGGUGAAAUGCGUAGAUAUCAGGAGGAACACCGGCGGCGAAGGCGGCCUGCUGGACCGUGACUGACGUUGAGGCUCGAGAGCGUGGGGAGCAAACAGG